GGGCGCCAUCAUCCAGUAGGCGGAGCUCUCCUUGUGCUCUGUGUUCCAGCAUUGUGUCAAUAAUAAGUGUUGCUGUGAAGAGAACAAUAGUCAGACUGAAUGUUGAACAUCAGCUAGUUUCUCCUGCUGAUUUAAACCUUGUUGGACAGAUGGAACAUUGGCUGUGGAUUAUUCUAGCUGCUCUUUUCUUUGAGUGUAAAGGAGACUCAGUGACGCAGACAGAAGGACAUGUUGCUGCUGCUAAAGGAGGCAAUGUUACUCUUGAAUGCACUUUUGAAACAAACUCCUUUGGGAAUCCCUACUUGUUUUGGUAUAAAAAAGAAGAAAAUAAACGCCCAAGUCAUAUACUGACCCGCCUCAGAGGGACAGGCAUAAAUUCUAAGGAGUUCAACAAGGAACGAUUUGAUGCUAUUCUUCAAGAUGCAUCCAUCCCUCUUAAGAUCCAGGAUCUUCGUCUGUCAGACUCUGCUGUGUACUACUGUGCCCUGCAGCCCACAGUGACAGGAAACACCAGAACUCUGUACAAGAACCUGUAA